rfam:Hordeum vulgare subsp. vulgare, WGS project CAJW01000000 data, contig: morex_contig_1425084
GCCGCCAUGGUGAAAUUGGUAGACACGCUGCUCUUAGGAAGCAGUGCUCCAGCAUCUCGGUUCGAAUCCGAGUGGCGGCA